UCAUAAGAAGCCACCUUAUCCUUUAAUGCAGGUUUUAUAUUUCUCUUUGAAACGGAUAGGAAUUGUAUCAUUCGCUCCAACAUUGUCUUUAAUUGUUUCAAUCUAUUAAACUGCAGAGAUCUUUGUUGAUGCGGAAAAGAAUUCUGCUCGAGACAAAAAAAAGAAUGUUUUCAACAAGAAAGAGACGAGCACAUAGAUUGCAAGCUAAAGGAACAUAAAUAUCCGAUGUUUACUUUCUACUGGACAGUAAAAAUACGAGCAUCUUUUGGUGCAAUGGUUUUCAAGAUGCCAAAGUUGUAUGACUUUCUUUUGCAAUAUCGAACCGGUUUUGCAUUGAAUUCAUAGGAAUUCUCGCUCAGAUACUCUACUGUUUCGGAGGACAUACACUCUACUCUCCUAGAAAAAUAUAUAGCAACUUACUUGCUGCAACUUGGCUGCAACUCUCUGUUUGACUUCUUUUAGAUCUGAUAAGUACGUAUCUCUCAAAGUUUUGAUCUGCAAAGACAAGCACAAAGAUCACACGGUUACUCAUUACGAUGAUAUCAAAAUAAGAUCGCCUGCCGUGUUGCAUUUAUCUCUUAUAGAUUUAAUAAACGUAGACAGAAUAGGUAUAAAGAUAGCAAACUUAUUUUAUCUCCCCCAAACACUUAUGAGUACUGACGGCAAGGCCUGAAGCAUUACCCAAACUAGAAAGAAAAACUACCUUUUGGUAAACCUCCUCUUGCCAAUCAACAGAAUUUCCACUUUCCGUCUGUGCCAUGGAGUUUAACAAUGCUACAAUUUAUAAAAAUGGGGUUUGUUUAGCAUCAGAUCCAGCUGAGGGAUUAACUUAUGUAAAGUAUUCACAAGGAUGUAAACGCAUACACACAGGAUGGAAUCUCUGGAAGGGUUUGUCUCUGUUGGUCCACUACAUUUUGAGGUGGAAGCAGGGAACCUGUGAAUUGGCCUGAAGAUUGUAGCCUUUGUAGCAGAUUAGGUUGUUGUAACUGCUGAUGAUGCGACUGAAGGGGCAUCAUCAGCUGCUGCUGGGAUGGCUGAUUUUGUGACUGUUGGCCUUGAGAAGAAAACACAACAUGAGAUGAUUGUUGGGGAAGCUCCCCUUGCUGAACUGGAUUCCUCGGCCUUAGCAUAUUUACCAAAUCUAUAGUCUGCUUCUCAUAGAUAGCCACCUUAUCCCUUAAUGCAGGUAUGACAUCUCUCUUUGACACCGAUAGGAAUAGUAUCAUUCGCUCCACCGCUGCCUUGAACUGUUUCAAUUUCUCAAACUGCUCUGAUCUUCGUUGCCGCGGAAGAGAACCCAUCUGGGGAGAAAAAGGAAUGUGCUCAAUAGGAAAAGAGACAACCACAUAGAUUCAAGCUACAACCUUUGUCAGUUUGGGAAGGAAAAUAAAUAUCCGACAAUUACUUUCCACCGGACAGUAAAAAUACCAAAUUUGUGUGACUUUCUUUUGCAAUAUCGAAUUGGUCUUGCAUAGAAACUCUCGCAGGUACUACUGUUCUGGAGGACAUACACACUACUCUCUUAGAAAAAAAAACUUACUUGCUGCACCCUGGAUGCAGCUCUCUGAUAGAUUACGGCAAGAUCAGGUAAGUACGCUUCUUGUAUAGUUUUGAUCUGCAAAGACAAAGCACCAUGGACACACACGGAUUACUCAUUACAAUGAUAUUUAUGUAAGAUCGCCUGUCGUGUUGCAUAUAUAUACAGCAAACUUAGUUGACAGCAAGACUAAGAAGCCGGAAGCAAUACCCAAAUUAGAAAAAAAGAAAACUACCUUUUGGAAAACCUCCUCUUGCCAAUCAACCGCAUUUCCACUUUCCGUCUGUGCCGUGGAGUCUAGCGAUGUUACAAUUAAUAAAUAAAUAAAAGGUUUUGUUGAGCAUCAGAUCCUAAAGUAUUCACAAGGAUGUAAAGGCAUACAUGAUGGCAUCUCCUGGAGGGUUCUUUGGGAUUGAUACAGUUGUUGUCUCUGUUGGUCUCCGGAAGGCCUCCAAUUGUUGUUAUCCAUCUAAGUGUUCCCUACGGUUACAAAAAUCUACAGAAAACAAACGACCACACACAGAGAUGAAUUAUAUUGACAAGAAUCAGAGCAGCCAAAGGCUAAUUCUAACAAGUUUGAGACACGGAAUCACCAACCAACCCUAAUAGAGAAUCAAAACCAAAUUUUUCAUUUUUGUUUACUCUUGUUAACAAAAAAAAGCGACAGACUCAACCUCAAAGUAGCAUAUCGUAAAACGAGUAAGCAUACUGUGUCAAUCACACCAAAAAAAAAGAAGGUUAAAUCUAUUCUCCUAAAUAGUAUGAGAACCACAAUCUGUAAAGCGCGAUAGCGAAAUAAUAUGUCUUCUCGAGACUACUGAUCACAAUAGAAAACGAAAUUCUAAAAUUUCACCUCGAGGCGAUUUCACGGGUUGUUACAAAGGAGUAGGAUUGAUCGGGAUGAAGAAAGGAUGACCAAGUUUUCAAUGUCGUCGCGCGGCUUUUAAAUUACCAAAAACCCCUACAAUUAAUGAUCAAUUACUGUAUAAUCUUGCCAAGUGUCAACUACAAGUUCACUAAACCCCAAAUUUAAUUGACCCACCAAUAUAAAGACGGCGCUUAGUCUCAUCAUGUGCUUUAAUUUUUUCAAUUGAUGUUUGAUGUCGGAGAAACCAGAAAUCAUCCCAAUUCCCAAUGGCAUACACUCGACCAUGUAUGGUUUAUUCAUGCCUUUUCUUGUUUUUCUUUUUAAGAGCAUCUCCAAAAAGAAACUCUAUUUUGAAGUUUCCAAAACUCUAUAUUUGAAGUUUCAAUGUGUUCUUCUCCAAAAGUAAAACUUCAAACCUAACUUCAAAAUUAUUUAUAUUUUACACUAUGGUCCUUAUAUUUGUCAUAGUUGAUGUAAAUUCAUAAAAUUUCUAUAAAUAACUAGUACAUAUAUAUAAAUAUUACAGAAAUAUUAAUUAAAAAAAUCUUACACUAAACGAUAAAAUUAUAAAUAAAAGUACAUACUUAAAUAUUAAACUGCAAACAAAUAUUAUAUUAUUCCAUGAAAUUAUUUCUAUAAUGCUCCCAUAUAUGAUCAAUUAGUGCAUUUCGAAGUAAGAAAUGAUUCUCUUUAUUUUUUAUUUGUAGAUUACGAGCCAAAAAUUGUUGAAAUCGGAUAUCCUCAUAAUAUGGCUGCUGAUAGUUUGAUAUUAUCAAACGAAAAAAUCCUUGAUCUUUUAAACGAAAGUAUAACAAGCAAGGAAAAAGGUCAUGAGAUGAUUGAAUUAUGACUACAAAAUAAAGCAAAAAAGUUAGCUUUUAAAAAAGUAAAAGAGAAAAAUAAAAUAUUGCUAAAAAACUUAGCUUCUAUCAAUCAUGUUAAUAUUCGUGAAUACAUUCGAUCUAAACAAGAAAGAAUCAUACGAAAAAUGCGUCAAGAGCAACAACAACAAUCAUCUUUGGUUACACAAAAUUUGUUUGGACGAUAUUUUGUAGAUUUUUGAGGUUCCGGAGCAAAUUUACCAUACUAUUAGUGUUGUCAUAAUAUUUAAAUUUGAGUAAUAAUUAUGUCUUCAUGUGUCUUUUUAAUAAGUUUGUAUUAUGGUUUUUUGUAAUAUUCUUGUUGUUUAAUUCUAGUUUUAAAAUAUUAUAAAUCUUGUUUAAAAAUUUUUUAUUUAAUUUCAUGUGUAAAAAUUAAAUUUAUAAAACAAAUUUAAAAUAUUUAUGAGAUAUAAAUUUUUUAAAGAUUAAAACAAUAAACAAAAAAAUAUUUAAGAAUUAUAAAUAUGAUGUAUAAUUGUAAGGACCAAAAUGCAAAUAAAAAGAUGAAACUUCAAAUUUGAAGUUUUGAAAAGUGAAACUCUAUAUUUGGAGUUUCACUCUUCAAAACUUCAAAUUUGAAGUUUUGAAGUUCCUUUUUGGAGAGCAAAAAACUCUAUAUUUGGAGUUAUAGAGUUUCUUUUGGAGAUGCUCUAACUCUUCAAGGUGUGUUCUUUAUAUACAAAUAUAAAUUAUGGACUAGCUUUCCUUAGGAAGUUUUACGCCGUUUUGAAAACUCCUCUUGUUUGAUUUCGCUUCCCUCUUCCAUACUCUGCAUCCUUGAGGAUAUUUUGCUCAAGUAAUCCACAACAUCAAGAACGAAAUAAGGGGUGGAUGAUAUCAAGGAUAAAUGAACACAUUGAGGUUAAUAAAGAAAAAAAUAAAAAAGUGAAACCUGACUUGUCGCGGUGUUGAAAAUUAACUCCUCGAAGCUGACAGCAACUCUCAUGAGCUCUUCGAUUCCUUCUUUCCCAGAAUAUGGAAUAUGUUUCUUCAGUGUUUCCAAUCUACUCAAAUGACAAAAGUAACUUGUCUAUCUAGAACCAUAUUCAUAGUGUCAAAGCAAUACAACAAAACUUUGUGAAACAUUCUACUUCUACAGAAUUUUGAUCAUUAAAUUGACUUAUGAAUGACAAAAGAGUAGCAAGAGUGAGAAAAUAUGACAAAUUUGGAAGAGGAACAAAACUCACAAUGUGUUGACAUUCUUCUGGCGUGAACCUGGUGGAUGUUGAGUUCUCCAGUCACCUCUGUUUAUGCCAAUAUUACCUAUGUGGACAAAACAAAGCAUUAAGUUCAGAUUUCUAACUCCAUUCAAAAGAAACAAAUCAAGUGGGAAAAUGGAUGCAGCUGACCUACAACAUCGAUUUAUUAAUUACACCAAGAAAAUGGAUUGCAUCUACAGAUUUGCUUGACUAGAAUGAUUACCGUUCUGAGGUUGCGGAAGCUGCCCUUGCUGUACUGGCUUCCUCGGCCUGUGCCUAUUUAAGAAACUUAUAAUCUGCGUCUCAUAAAAAUCCACCUUAUCCUUUAAUGCAGGCAUGAUAUUGCUCUUUGAAAUCAAUAGGAAUCGUAUCAUUCGUUCCAACAUUAUCUUGAAUUGUUUCAAUUUCUCAAAGUCCUUUAAUCUUUGCUGCUGCGGUAGUGAAUACUGCUGGAGAGAAAGAAAAAAAAAUCUGUUCAAUAGGAAAAGAGACAAAGCACAUAGAUGCAUGCAAGCUAGAACCUUGGUGGGUAUGAGAAGGAACAUAACUAUCAGAUGUUUACAUACGAGCCUCAAGAGCAUAUUUUCGUGAAAUGGUUAACAAGAUACCAAAGUGUUUGCAUUAAAUUCAUAGAAAUUCUCCCAGCUACUAGUGUUUCGGAGGACAUACACACACUACUCUCUUAGAGAAAAAAAAUAUCGUAACGUACUUUCUCCAACUUGGCUGAAGCUCUCUGGUAGAUUUCGUGAAGUUCUGCUAAGUACUUUUCGUUUAUAGUUCUGAUCUGCAUAGACAAAGCACCAUGUUUUCACACGAUUAUUCAUUACAGUGAUACUCUUUGUCUUAUUGCAUCUAUCUCUUGACACUUUAAUAAGCGUAGACAGAAUUAGUACUAUAUAUAGCGAACUUAUUUUAUCUCCCAGAAUUCAGCAAGAGUAAGAGGACACUACAGAAGCAUUAACUAGAAAGAAACAACUAUCUUUUGGUAAACCUCCUCUUGCCAAUCAACACCAUUUGCACUUUCCAUCUGAUGCUCAGCAUCAGAUCCUGCUGAGGUGGGAUUAUGUAAAGUAUGAGAACCUAAAGUAUUCACAAGGAUGUAGAAAAAGCAUACAUGAUGGAAUCUCCGGAAGGGUUCUUUGGGAUUGAUAUAGUUGGUCCACUACAUUUUGAGGUGGAAGCAGAGAACCUGUGACUUGACCUGAAGAUUGUAGCCUCUGUUGCACAUCCUGUUGUAGCAGAUUAGGUUGUUGUUGCAAACCUAACUGCUGAUGAUGCGACUGUUGGCCCCGAAACAGAAACAAGCCAUGAGCAGCCUGAUGCAGCCCAACGGUUGGCUGUGAUAACAUGUGCACCGACUGCUGGUUAGUCUGGGAACUGAGCAACUGAUGUUGUGGUUGCUGCAGUCCUGCAACACUUCUUUGAGUGCCCAAUGGUUGCUGAUGAAGGCUGUUUUGUUGAGACAUCAAAUGCUGUGGCAACGGAUUUCUCCAGUCACCAGGUUCUCCUUUUGGAACGGAAGGUCUCCAAUUGUUGUUAUCCAUCACCUGUUCCUUACGACCACACACAAGACAAUCCGAUUUUAUGCCAAGAUUCAGAGCAGCUAGGCUAAUAAUGAUAGCAAGUUUGAGCCACGGAAUCACCAAUUCCAAAGAAAAUUAAAAUCAGUUGACUUCACUGAUCAGUCAAUUUUUUUCAUUUCUGUUUGCUAUUGGUAGCAAGAAAGAGACAGAGUCAACCUCAAAGUAGCAUAUCCGAGAAAACGAGUAAGCUCAAUCACACCAACAAAGUCAAAUCUAUUCUCCUAAAUAGUAUUAAGAACCGAGAACCACAAUCAAUAAAGCUUGAUGGGCUAUAUAGUAGUAUGUCUUCACGAGACUCCCGAUCCACAAGAUUUGAAAAUUUAACUUGUAUUAAACUUGUAUCAUUCGCUCCAACAUUGUCUUUAAUUGUUUCAAUCUAUUAAACUGCAGAGAUCUUUGUUGAUGCGGAAAAUAAUUCUGCUCGAGACAAAAAAAAGAAUGUUUUCAACAAGAAAGAGACGAGCACAUAGAUUGCAAGCUAAAGGAACAUAAAUAUCCGAUGUUUACUUUCUAGUGGACAGUAAAAAUACGAGCAUCUUUUGGUGCAAUGGUU
rnacentral:lncRNA from 1 species